rnacentral:rRNA from 1 species
CCUACGGGAGGCAGCAGUGGGGAAUAUUACACAAUGGGCGAAAGCCUGAUGCAGCGACGCCGCGUGAGGGAUGACGGCCUUCGGGUUGUAAACCUCUUUCAGCAGGGAAGAAGCGAAAGUGACGGUACCUGCAGAAGAAGCGCCGGCUAACUACGUGCCAGCAGCCGCGGUAAUACGUAGGGUGCAAGCGUUGUCCGGAAUUAUUGGGCGUAAAGAGCUCGUAGGCGGCUUGUCACGUCGGUUGUGAAAGCCCGGGGCUUAACCCCGGGUCUGCAGUCGAUACGGGCAGGCUAGAGUGUGGUAGGGGAGAUCGGAAUUCCUGGUGUAGCGGUGAAAUGCGCAGAUAUCAGGAGGAACACCGGUGGCGAAGGCGGAUCUCUGGGCCAUUACUGACGCUGAGGAGCGAAAGCGUGGGGAGCGAACAGGAUUAGAUACCCUGGUAGUCCACGCCGUAAACGGUGGGAACUAGGUGUUGGCGACAUUCCACGUCGUCGGUGCCGCAGCUAACGCAUUAAGUUCCCCGCCUGGGGAGUACGGCCGCAAGGCUAAAACUUAAAUGAAUUGACGG